GGGUCAAUAGCUCAGCUGGUUAGAGCAGACGGCUCAUAACCGUCUGGUCCGGGGUUCAAGUCCCUGUUGACCCA
rnacentral:tRNA from 1 species